rnacentral:siRNA from 1 species
UUUAUUGUCACUACCUCCCCG